CCUACGGGGGGCAGCAGUGGGGAAUAUUGGACAAUGGGGGCAACCCUGAUCCAGCCAUGCCGCGUGUGUGAAGAAGGCCCUCGGGUUGUAAAGCACUUUCAGUGAGGAAGAACGCCUGGUGGUUAAUACCCAUCAGGAAAGACAUCACUCACAGAAGAAGCACCGGCUAACUCCGUGCCAGCAGCCGCGGUAAUACGGAGGGUGCGAGCGUUAAUCGGAAUUACUGGGCGUAAAGCGCGCGUAGGUGGCUUGAUAAGCCGGUUGUGAAAGCCCCGGGCUCAACCUGGGAACGGCAUCCGGAACUGUCAAGCUAGAGUGCAGGAGAGGAAGGUAGAAUUCCCGGUGUAGCGGUGAAAUGCGUAGAGAUCGGGAGGAAUACCAGUGGCGAAGGCGGCCUUCUGGACUGACACUGCCACUGAGGUGCGAAAGCGUGGGUAGCAAACAGGAUUAGAUACCCGAGUAGUC
rnacentral:rRNA from 1 species